rnacentral:rRNA from 1 species
GACGAACGCUGGCGGCGUGCUUAACACAUGCAAGUCGAACGGUAAGGCCCUUCGGGGUACACGAGUGGCGAACGGGUGAGUAACACGUGGGUGAUCUGCCCUGCACUUCGGGAUAAGCCUGGGAAACUGGGUCUAAUACCGGAUAGGACCACUGCCUGCAUGGGCGGUGGUGGAAAGCGUUUGCGGUGUGGGAUGGGCCCGCGGCCUAUCAGCUUGUUGGUGGGGUGAUGGCCUACCAAGGCGACGACGGGUAGCCGGCCUGAGAGGGUGACCGGCCACACUGGGACUGAGAUACGGCCCAGACGCCUACGGGAGGCAGCAGUGGGGAAUAUUGCACAAUGGGCGCAAGCCUGAUGCAGCGACGCCGCGUGAGGGAUGACGGCCUUCGGGUUGUAAACCUCUUUCAGCACCGACGAAGCGCAAGUGACGGUAGGUGCAGAAGAAGGACCGGCCAACUACGUGCCAGCAGCCGCAGUAA